rnacentral:rRNA from 1 species
CUACGUGCCAGCAGCCGCGGUAAUACGGAAGGUCCAGGCGUUAUCCGGAUUUAUUGGGUUUAAAGGGAGCGUAGGCUGCCGUUUAAGCGUGUUGUGAAAUGUACCGGCUCAACCGGUGAUGUGCAGCGCGAACUGGAUGGCUUGAGUUCGAAGAGGGAAUGCGGAACUCGUGGUGUAGCGGUGAAAUGCUUAGAUAUCACGAGGAACUCCGAUCGCGAAGGCAGCAUUCCGUUUCGUGACUGACGCUGAUGCUCGAAAGUGCGGGUAUCGAACAGGAUUAGAUACCCUGGUAGUCCGCACGGUAAACGAUGGAUGCUCGCUGUUGGUUUAAUUAGAUCAGUGGCUAAGUGAAAGCAUUAAGCAUCCCACCUGGGGAGUACGCCGGCAACGGUGAAACUCAAAGGAAUUGACGGGGGCCCGCACAAGCGGAGGAACAUGUGGUUUAAUUCGAUGAUACGCGAGGAACCUUACCCGGGCU